rnacentral:rRNA from 1 species
UACGAAGGGGGCUAGCGUUGCUCGGAAUCACUGGGCGUAAAGCGCACGUAGGCGGCUUUCUAAGUCGGGGGUGAAAUCCUGGAGCUCAACUCCAGAACUGCCUUCGAUACUGGAGAGCUUGAGUCCGGGAGAGGUGAGUGGAACUGCGAGUGUAGAGGUGAAAUUCGUAGAUAUCGAGAGGAACACCUGCGGCGAAGGCGGGUUGCUGGGCCGACACUGACGCUGAGGCGCGAAAGCCAGGGGAGCGAACGGG